CGGCGACGAAAGCGAUGGUGGGGCUUUGUUUGGCCAUAACUUUGCCUUCGAAGGCCCAGGGAACCCGUCAGCAGCAGUGGAGGUGACAGAGGGAGGAUGAGGGCGUGGGACGGGGACGAAGGAAGAGGAGGAGGAGGAGGAGGUGGUGGUGGUGGAGACGGUAGUAGUGGUAAAGGAGGAGGAGGAGGAGGAGGGGAAACAGAUGGGAGAGAGAGGGUUGUCAGGCCAGCGAGAGGGACGUCGGGGGUACAUUUGCUUUGUUGUCAGCUCCCAAAGCGUCGUGGGAGCUGCGUCGACGAGACCGAGAGGAGAGCAGCGCCUCGCCUCCCCAGCAAAGGUCGUUCCCAGCUGACUCAAGCAAAACAACAACAACAACAAUAAUCACGCCACGCCUUUAAACCACUGCAGCCACGCCACAACCUGAGCCAUGAAAACCGACACCAGGAAAAUAAGCAAAUGACACUAUCUUGAUUUACUUGUUUAACUGAGGCUUUGUUUUUUCUUUAUUCUUCCGUUGCUUAAGUGGAUGGUUGAUUGAAGUGAAAUGUUAAGAUAUGCCUUUGCCGUCCUCUCUUACAUGUGUUUGGUGUCUGGUCGUCUCUCUCUCUCUCUCUCUCUCUCUCUCUCUCUCUCUCUCUCUCUCUCUCUCUCUCUCUCUCUCUCUCUCUCUCGUUCUGAUUAAUUGUAUUGCUUCCUCUAUCUACUUGCCUCCCUCACACUCGUUUCUCUUUUAUUUUUAUUUUUUUACGUCUCUCCCUCCUUUUAUGCUCCAAUCUCCACUUUUCGCUUAAUCUGCGUAUGUAUCUUCCCGUUAUCACGCCCUCUUAACCUUAAGCACUCCUCCUCUCCCUCUCCUCACUUCCUCCCUUCAUCCCUGGGGCCGUUUAUCCUCCCUGCCUUACGUUUCCCCUCCCACCUGUACUCCUCUUCCCUUCCUCACCUCGCCUUGAUAUCUGCAUAAGACCGUUUAGGGGGUUGUCACUUGAAGGACCCCAACCCUUAUGUUCCUUCAGGGCGGUGCUGUCCACGGCCUGUCACGGCGUUCUCAACUACACUACCUAUAGGAAAUGUACGCGGCCCUCAGAGAUAUUUCCCUUCCCGUCUCUCUUAUCUUACAUCCCCUUUUCUUUUCACCCUCUUCUAGUUUCCUUGUUUUCCUUCCCCUUCUUCUCUCUUACACCCCUUUUCCUUCUCUCCCUCGUGUAAUUCUCUCUUCAUGUUUCCUUCUUUUCCUUCCCUUUCCGCUUCCUUACGUCCCCUUUCCUUCUCUCCGUCUUGUAAUUCUCUCAAGUUCCCUUCUUUUCCUUCCCUUUCUACUUCCUUACGUCCCCUUUCAUUCUCUUUCUCAUCUAGUCCCAUUCUUUUCCUUAUUCUUUCUCCUCUCCUA